rnacentral:rRNA from 1 species
AACGAACGCUGGCGGCAGGCCUAACACAUGCAAGUCGAACGCCGUAGCAAUACGGAGUGGCAGACGGGUGAGUAACGCGUGGGAACAUACCCCUCGGUUCGGAAUAACUCAGGGAAACUUGAGCUAAUACCGGAUACGUCCGAGGUUUUAAUCGGCCUUGGAGAAAGAUUUAUCGCCGGAGGAUUGGCCCGCGUCUGAUUAGCUUGUUGGUGAGGUAAUGGCUCACCAAGGCGACGANCAGUAGCUGGUCUGAGAGGAUGAUCAGCCACAUUGGGACUGAGACACGGCCCAAACUCCUACGGGAGGCAGCAGUGGGGAAUAUUGGACAAUGGGCGAAAGCCUGAUCCAGCCAUGCCGCGUGAGUGAUGAAGGCCUUAGGGUUGUAAAGCUCUUUACCCGGGAAGAUAAUGACGAUACCGGGAGAAUAAGCCCCGGCUAACUUCGUGCCAGCAGCAG